UACGGAGGGUGCAAGCGUUAUCCGGAUUCACUGGGUUUAAAGGGUGCGUAGGCGGGCAUGUAAGUCCGUGGUGAAAUCUCCGAGCUUAACUCGGAAACUGCCAUGGAUACUAUGUGUCUUGAAUGUUGUGGAGGUGAGCGGAAUAUGUCAUGUAGCGGUGAAAUGCUUAGAUAUGACAUAGAACACCCAUUGCGAAGGCAGCUUACUACGGAAUGAUUGACACUGAGGCUCGAAAGCGUGGGGAUCAAACAGG
rnacentral:rRNA from 1 species